AUCGAACGCUGGCGGCAUGCCUUACACAUGCAAGUCGAACGGUAACGGGCCCUUCGGGAUGCCGACGAGUGGCGAACGGGUGAGUAAUAUAUCGGAACGUGCCCAGUAGUGGGGGAUAACUGCUCGAAAGAGCAGCUAAUACCGCAUACGACCUGAGGGUGAAAGGGGGGGAUCGCAAGACCUCUCGCUAUUGGAGCGGCCGAUAUCAGAUUAGCUAGUUGGUGGGGUAAAGGCCUACCAAGGCAACGAUCUGUAGUUGGUCUGAGAGGACGACCAGCCACACUGGGACUGAGACACGGCCCAGACUCCUACGGGAGGCAGCAGUGGGGAAUUUUGGACAAUGGGCGCAAGCCUGAUCCAGCAAUGCCGCGUGCAGGAAGAAGGCCUUCGGGUUGUAAACUGCUUUUGUCAGGGAAGAAAUCUUCUGGGCUAAUACCCCGGGAGGAUGACGGUGCCUGAAGAAUAAGCACCGGCUAACUACGUGCCAGCCGCCGCCGUAA
rnacentral:rRNA from 1 species